GAUGGUAAAACGCUAUUUGGUUUAUAUCCGGCUGCUCAGCUGGAAAAGUUAUAAGCUGGAGGCUCCAAUUUGAAGGUUAACGCGAUCUGUUUCGUAAAAGGAGAAAAUUAAAGAAGAGUUGUCGCAGGAGUUGUCACGUCUCAUCACAGAUCGCAGGCUGGAAUCACGAGACACGGUAGUGUCUCGCGCCAAGUGUAAGCGUAGCUAGUACACGCUAUAAUUAACAGUAGUACGUUCAUUCAGGGUCUAAGCAGGAAUAUUGUUGUGGGUGUUUGCGAUUCCGAAGUCAGACGCUGGUCGAGGUCAGAAGUGAACGCGCAAAUUAUUGACUUACGACAGAAAUCGUAAACGGUUACGACAAUCGUUUUGCUCAUGCCCUUACUCGCCGUGAACGUAAGCAGUAAUUCGUAACGAAGAUGCGGUCCGAUGACGAGGCGUUGGAAGACGAGGAAGAGAUGCUCGUUUACGUGGAGUUCGAGGGGCUCACCGGUAGCGACAUGUUCAGUAAUGAGGAUCUUCAACUGGAUAUGAUUGGAAUAGACACCGAGCAUCCCAUGAUGGAAAUUAACGGGCGGUUUUACGAGGGCACUUAUGAGGAUGCCAUGGGCACUUACAUGUUCUUCGAGAAGGACGACAACCCGAGGGUGGACGAUGAAGUGUUCGAUAAGGUGCCGUCUCUAAAAUAUUUCACUAAGACGAGAAAGUUGCUCAAGAUGCAGAGAGUGUUCACGAAACCGAGGGUCGAGGUCCUUGGCGAUUCCGAACACGCCAGUUGUAUUCCAAACACCGAAAUGUUAUCGCAGGCUGGAGUGCCCCCGAAGUAUCAGGAGGAAGCCGUAGAGUUUUGGAAUAAAGUACGCAAUGACAGAAUGGAAGAGCUAAGUGCGUUUUUGAAGAAACAGAAAAUCAGGGAAGAGAAAAAGUCCAAAGGUAUUGCGUCGAAUUCGGAAUCUGACGAGGAUAGCCCACUUGCGGCCACAAAUGAAGUCAAAUCGAAAGAGGCAUGAUUGGACUUCCAAAAUUAUUUUCUUAAAUCGAGGUCACCAGGUAGUUCGUCCGGAUACUCUCCCGUCAGGCAGGCAGUGCAGUGGCCGAUAUAACUACUCUCGCGAUUGUCCAUGCGGCACCUGACUGCCUCGACAAGUCCUUCGACCGAGAGCUAACUUCUAUCGUACAAGACGAGCGUACCUACCUAGACAAAUAACUUGAGCAACGUCAAUCUGCGACGGCCAGUCCCCAGCAGCGAUGCACCCGAAAACGCCGCAUUCGUGUGUAA